AUGUCACAGAUUUCUGAAGUCCUGAUACCAACAUACCUCCCUUCUUAUUAUAAAGAGAAGAAAAAAGAAGAGGAGUAAGCCGAUGGUGAAAAGGGAAUAAGGGCACUGUGUCUCUUAAGCUGCUUCCUGUUAUCUAGGGCCGUCAUCAAUUUUGGGGUGUAGCUGACUUUUACCAUCAGGAUCCACUUGGUAAACAUUCACAUCAGGUUCCUCUGUGGAUAGCAAAUCUUCUGUGGGCAGUGGCUGGUAAUCCUAUAACAGGAGCUGGUUAAUAGUUUGGUUAGAAAUUUUUUUUAUUUGUUGUUGAAGGAAUGUAGAAACAAGAUUAAUGAGGCAGGGAGCAAAUAAUAACACCAGGAAGAUGACUAGGAAAAGUAUUAUGAAAGGGAGUAUCCACUUCCAUAUAGAAUUUUCAAAAAGACCAUAACUGGAGGUCUCAUGGUUUCUGAAGUUCUUGAUAUCUGACUAGCUCCUGGAUUUUAUUUCUCACUAUCCCGGAUUGGUUGAUGUAGAAACAGCAUUCUUCUUUGAGGAACAGGCAAAGACCACCUUCUUUAGCUGUCAGGACAUCUAGUCCCCAUUUAUUCUGAAGCAUCACAGCUGCCAAAGAAUCGAUCAAGACAACUCUUGUCUCCCACCUGGAAUCCCAUAAGUCUUGUCUGAUCAAAGAGAAAGCAAGUAUAGAGAUCAUAAUAUUUAGAUGGGAUAACAGAUACAGGGAUGAUAGCAAUUUGAUUGGUUCCUGGCAUCUGGCUAUGGAGCAGUUUCCUGACCCUAUUUGAAAAGACUGUUGUUAUCUGUGGGGGUUUCUUGGACCUUUAAUCUCCAGAUGUAAGGGCUGCCCUGGGUGGAAAUGAACAGCAAGGGGAGGAUGAGAAACCCAUGUCUAAUGCAGUGAGGUCAAGCUUGGCUGCAGGAGUGGAGUCUCAUUUUCUGGGAUUGGGGAUAAGAUGGGUGGUCUCAGUGUCUUCUGGAAUUUAACACAGCACAGUCCUGUUAGGGUCGAUGUGUAUGAAGAAGAGUCAUUUUUAGGUGGAGGAAUGAAAGGUUUGAGGUGAGACAAGUGGACCAAAUGAGAGAGUCCCUCAAGUUUAGCAGCUGUAGGGGUCACAAGGAUUACCUUAAAAGGGCCCUGCUAUUUAUGAGAGAGGGGUGACAGCCAAUAAUCUAGAGGGGAUAGAAGGACUUGGUCUCCAAUGUUAACAGACAGUGAACAGGAGACAGUUUUUGGCCACAGUAGAUGGUGGUCAGCAAAGUUCCAUAGGAGAGAACAGAGAUGGCAAAGUAAUGGGGUGAGUAGAUGGUCUGGGAGGGGAGAUAAUUUAGGUGAAAGACCAGGAGUUAGGACUGGACAUCCAUACAGAAGUUCAAAGGGUGAGAUGAAGAGAGGUCAGUUGGAGAGAGCUUGUAGCAUGAAAAGAGUCAAAGUCUAUAUAGAAAGUCAAGAAAGAAGAUGUGCAGCCAUUGAGGAACAAAGACAGCUCUCCCAACUGCUUCAGGUGGUGAGAGCUGAGUAGGGAGAGUGCCUCAUCUCCCUUCCCCUCCCUAUCCUCUCCCCCAACCUAUACACACCACCUGGAGGCAGACACACUCCCUUGACCAGGGCCAGCAUUACUGGCUGUGCAGAGUGUGCUGAGUCCUCUGUGGCUGCUAUAGAUGGGACAAUGUGACACAGUUCUACCUAUGGAGCAGAGCUAGCAAGAUGUUCUCCCUGCCAACGUUACCAUGGAAUGCUCUCUCUGACAAGGUUGAUGGCUCCAUGACAAUUAGAAGCAACACAAAUCUGGAAGCCUGUCCUUGAUCCAGAUAUCCCUCCUCAGGAAGACGAACUCUCCAUAGGUCAUCCUCCAGCUGGGAUCUCUCUGCUCUAUGUUCUGUCUCUUCUUCUUCUUUUUUUUUUUUUGUACCUUCUUAAUAUACAGUUGAGUUUAACUUAAUAUAGUAAUUCAGUAGCUAUGUGCCAAGCUUUGAUGACUUUUUCUCUUCUAGCCCCAAAUUCCAGAAAAUUAAAAGCCAAAAAUAAAAACAAAAUCCUAUUAUCCUUUCCAAAUUAGUUAAUGUGAAUUGAAUUGACCCAAAUACCAUUUUCUGUUAUGAGAUAUUUCAAGUACAUUGAGAAUCACAAAAGAAGAAGAGGAAGGUGAAGAGGAUAAAGAGGAGGAGGAAAAUGAGGAGGAAAAAGAAGAGGAGAAUGAAGACGAGGAAGAAGAGGAGGAGGAGCGAAAAGAAAAGAAAAAAAAAGAAACCACAACAUAUGUAGCCUUGCCUCCUUCACUUUUCCUUUCCUUUCCUGGUAACAGAGUCAAGGGCAUACUAACACAGGAACUUUGAGCCACAUCCCAGGCCAGUAACCUAACUUCUAUCCAGCAUCAU
rnacentral:lncRNA from 1 species